AGCGAACGCUGGCGGCAGGCCUAAUACAUGCAAGUCGAACGGCAGCACGGCAGAGCUUGCUCUGUGGGUGGCGAGUGGCGGACGGGUGAGGAAUACAUGGGAAUCUGCCCAGUCGUGGGGGAUAACGUAGGGAAACUUACGCUAAUACCGCAUGCGCCCUUCGGGGGAAAGCCGGGGACCUUCGGGCCUGGCGCGAUUGGAUGAGCCCAUGUCGGAUUAGCUAGUUGGCGGGGUAAUGGCCCACCAAGGCGACGAUCCGUAGCUGGUCUGAGAGGAUGAUCAGCCACACUGGAACUGAGACACGGUCCAGACUCCUACGGGA
rnacentral:rRNA from 1 species